rnacentral:rRNA from 1 species
UACGUAGGGGGCAAGCGUUGUUCGGAGUUACUGGGCGUAAAGGGUGUGUAGGCGGUUGUUUAAGUUUGGUGUGAAAUCUCCCGGCUCAACUGGGAGGGUGCGCCGAAUACUGAAUGACUAGAGUGCGGGAGAGGAAAGUGGAAUUCCUGGUGUAGCGGUGAAAUGCGUAGAUAUCAGGAGGAACACCGGUGGUGUAGACGGCUUUCUGGACCGUAACUGACGCUGAAACACGAAAGCGUGGGUAGCAAACAGG